UAUAACAUCAGCUAGCUAGCUAAGAUUGAGGUGAGGCCACCAGAUUGACUUUAGAUACGGUAUAACAUCAGCUAGCUAGCUAAGAUUGAGGUGAGGCCACCAGAUUGACUUUAGAUACGGUAUAACAUUAGCUAGCUAGCUAAGAUUGAGGUGAGGCCACCAGAUUGACUUUAGAUACAGUAUAACAUCAGCUAGCUAGCUAAGAUUGAGGUGAGGCCACCAGAUUGACUUUAGAUACGGUAUAACAUUAGCUAGCUAGCUAAGAUUGAGGUGAGGCCACCAGAUUGACUUUAGAUACGGUAUAACAUUAGCUAGCUAGCUAAGAUUGAGGUGAGGCCACCAGAUUGACUUUAGAUACAGUAUAACAUCAGCUAGCUAGCUAAGAUUGAGGUGAGGCCACCAGAUUGACUUUAGAUACGGUAUAACAUCAGCUAGCUAGCUAAGAUUGAGGUGAGGCCACCAGAUUGACUUUAGAUACAG